rnacentral:rRNA from 1 species
GAUGAACGUUGGCGGCGUGCCUAACACAUGCAAGUCGAACGGAAAUAGCAAUAUUUGAGUGGCGCACGGGUGAGUAACACGUAGCUAAUCUACCUCAAAGCGCGGGAUAACGUGUCGAAAGACAGGCUAAUACCGCAUAAGCUCACGAUCUGCAGAGGGUUGUGAGAAAAGGCGAAAGUCACUUUGAGAUGAGGCUGCGGCCCAUCAGCUAGUUGGUGAGGUAACGGCUUACCAAGGCAACGACGGGUAGGGGACCUGAGAGGGUGACCCCCAACUGGGGACUGAGACACGGCCCAGACUCCUACGGGAGGCAGCAGUGAGGAAUAUUGCACAAUGGGCAAAGCCUGAUGCAGCGACGCCGCGUGGGUGAAGAAGGUUUUCGGAUCGUAAAACCCUUUCUGUGUGACGAGCAAGGCGGUAGCACAGGAAUAAGUCUCGGCUAACUACGUG